AUACACUCUUGUAGUGAGUAACUAAUGGAUGAUGGAAAUAAUUAAUUGGAUUAAUUAAGUGUUAUGAUUAAUUAGAAAGUCUAAAGAAAUCAUAAAAGCGAUAUAAGAUCGUUUUGGGCUUAAAGAAACGUUUGGGUUUAAUUGGGCCCAUUGGGCCUAAACCCAUUGGGCUUUUAUUCAAGCAUUGGAUGACUUGAAAUAAAUAAAAGCCCAAAGCCCAAACAACACAAAAGGAGCCGGCCAAAGGAGGGAGAGAAAGGUCAAAUGUUGACUUGUUUCUUUUUGGCUAUAAAAGGAACUUUAUAGCAAAUGUUUCAUUAGGGUUUUUUUUUGAAGUGUUAAAAGAACAAAAGAGAAAAGAUAAAUAUCUCUCUAACACUCAAAGGCCCGGCCACCUUAGGGGGAUUUAGCUAAUCAUCUUUUCACCCCUUUGGUUAUUCCUUCAUCCUUCUCACCACACUAGUGGGUGAAGAUUUUUAGAGGUUUUCAAUUUUGGAAACUUGAAGAGAACCUAGGAGCACUCAUACUAAACAAAGUGGAGGAGGCAAGGAAGGAGGCUAGGCUCAAGGAGUUCAAGGAGCAAAGGGCUUGGAGGUGGUCCAUCCUUGGUCUAAGAUCUAGAUCAAGAGGUAUAAAACUACUCCUAAACUUUGUUCUAAUAUAAAUUUGUUUUUGAUGCAUCUUACAUAAACCUAUGCAUCUUGAAGGGGAUUUACAUGACUAGAGCUUUGAUAUUAUUUGAUAACAUGCUUCCGUUGCUUUCGUAUAUAAUUUUUGAAUUGUAUAUGCAUGCUAGUCACUAGAAAUCCCACAUGAAUCUCAUAGAAUUCCCUUCAACAAGGGCUUUAAUUUAGAAUCAUUCAUAUAAAUAUCAAAACUUAAAGAUAAUAAUUGUUAUUAUAAGAAGGGUGACAGUGUCGCGCCAUUCACUUAUAUAAUGAAUCAAGGUGAUUAUUCCACACCAAUCACAUUAAUAACAAGAUUAAUAAUGAUAAGGAAAAAAUAAAUAUUAACUUACUAUGCUUCCAUUUCUUUCUCUUUUGUCAACACUUUAGUACGUCAAAAUUUUCUUUCUUUUUCCUCAAAUUCAUGGCACCAUGAUUUCCACCUUUUGAAUUUUGAGUAAAUGAGACCUGGUGAGAUUUUUGUACAAGCCUUAAGCCACUGACUUUUGUGUAGACCCGCACCACCUAACUUUGAAUCAAUUAUUUUCUUUUCACAUGCCAUUCUUUUUUCACAUGCCAUUCACUGCCAAUAAUAAUAGUUAUAUAAUCAGAUGUAUAUUUACUUUAAGAAAAUUAGUCGUACAGAAGUAUGAAGAUAAAGUAGAAGGAUCUUCUUAUUUGUGAGAUUCUAGCCAACCAAGGUGAGAGGUAGGUAGUGCUUCGCUGGAUUUAUGACAUUGUGCUUUCCAUCGACACGAAAGCUUUUCGUGUUGAUAACAUGUUGUAAAAUUGAGAAUAUAUGUGCAGUGGAACAUAAAGUAAAUAAGACACAACAUUUACGAGGUUCAGUAAGUGUGUCUAUGUCAUUGAGACAGCAGUAGUACUUUCUUUCAUUAUCUGAAAUAAUAGGAGUACAGUGAUAACUCUCACUAUUUUCUCUCUCUAGCCCAACUCAUAAGUAAUUUCUUUCGAUCUCUCUUCUUUCCUCUUCUUUUCUCUCUCUCUUUGUUAUUGAAUUUUCUGUUUACAAUGAACGAAUGAACCUCCUUUAUAGAGUUUUUCAUCCGACAGAAUAAUGUAGCAACACUAUUCACUUUACAAAAUUUCUUCAAAUGAAUGGUAUAUAAAAAGUAACAGGCCCUUUAAGGGAAGGGAUCCCCAUUUUUUUUUUAAAUAGGGACACCCUGUUGACUGUUAGAUUUGACUUUAAUAAAAUUUUGUGGGUGAAAUUAAAUCACAGGCCACAAAAUCUCAACCACAGAAUUUCAUUAAAGCCAAAUCUAACGGUCAAGAGGGUGUUCCCAUUUUUUUUUUAAAAAUGGGGAUCCCUUCCCUUAAAGGUUCCUAAAUAGUAAUCCAUUUGAUUUUUCUUCAGAUGAAUAGUAAGAACUAUUCAUGUGGGCGAUGCAUAUAUCACAUUACAACAUAAUAGAAAAAUAGUCCUAUUUUAAAAAUAUUUAUUGAGAAACAAUUAUUAUUUUAAAAUAUUUAUUAAGAAAUAAUCACUAUUUCAAAUAUUAAUUUUUAAAAACAGUAGGUAAUGAAGAAAAACCUGUAGUACUAAGUGUUUUGUUUUUAUAUUACUAUGUACUAAAUAUAUGUUUCUCUGUAUGUGAAAUAUUUGUUGACUGAUCAAUUAAUGACACUUUGUAAUCAUUGUUUUGAAGAGUGUAGAGUAGGGUUCUAAGUAUGAACCUCAAAGUCCAUUAAUGGAGGUUUUGCUUUUUUUUGUAAAAAGAUAGAAGCUGGAAAAGAAAAAUGAGUGAAGGGGGACGGGGAAGCGAGAGAGGAAUGUGGGGCCCAUAAUUUUUAAGGUAUUCCACUACGAAUUUUAAUUCUUUAUGUGCAAGUAAAUGCAGUAAAGUCAUGGUUUGAACACAAUUUAUUUCCUUUAGAUUCUCAUUACUGAUAAGGAAAUGAGUUAUGAACCCCGAGUUGUGGAGUAAUCAAGGCCCAUAUUAUGGUAGAUUUUUGGGUGAAAAAUGACAUUGUAGCAGAAGCUAGUACGAGGGCACGGGCAAAGCCACAUAGGCUCACAAUGGUCAACUGACCCUUGUGGGCUUCUUGUAUUUUUUUCAUUAGGUUAUAUUAUAUUUCAUAAAAAUUUAUUAAUUAUGCACAAUAUGCUUGACCAUCUCCAAUUCUUGGGUUAAAACCUAAAAUUUCUGACCCAAAAAAUUUAAGUUUUAACCUAGAAAUAGUUUUUUUUGCUUCAACCCUUCUGGAUUAAAUUUUUAGCCCGAGAUUACUAAAGAACGAAUUUAGGAUAAUUUUUUUUCUUAAAGUAAUUUUUUUUAAAUAAAAAUUAUGUAGACUAUUCUAAUUUAAUUUUAUGAACAUUUUAACCUAAACAUAUUUAGAUUCCAAUAAAUAUUGAAAAAUCACUAAAGUGACAUUAUAAAACUCGUGGAACACUACGAAAGAAUAUGAAGCACAUGAACAAAUUUUUUUCAAUUAUUUUAGCUAUUGGAUUUAAAUUUGGACUGUUAGAUUUUUUUAUUUUUAUUUUUUACCUUUGGAUUUGAUUAUAUUAGAUCUUAGCUAUUGGAUUCAAUGAAUUUAUAAAUAUAAAAUUAAAACAAAUACACAUAUAUGGUGGGCCAACCUACUAACUCGGGUGUAAUCCUGGCCUCAAUUUGCCCCAGAAAUGAGUUUUGGGUAAAAACUCAUAUUUGACCUAAGGGUUGGAGCAAGGUGGGAUGAGUUUAGAACCUAAAUUUGAGUUUUACUCUAAGGGUUGGAGUAAGUCCAAUGACCACUAAAAAUUGCUAAACCCUAUUUUAUAUUCAGAUUGUCCCCAGUUUGCCCACUGUUUUUGGCAUGUCCAAGACAACCACGCUCCCUCUUUUUAAUUCUUCUUUGAAUCAAAUGAAUGAUAUAAUUAAGUAAUCAUUUAACCUUAUCUUUGCAAUUUUCUUGGGAUAAAAUACAAUGAAUUAGCUUAUAUCAUUUUUCUUUUUCUUUUUUUUUUUUGUUUAUAUUUUCUUUAGUGGGGUGGGGUGAGAUUGCUUACUGUUGAAGGAUUUGUAUUUUUAUAUGAGUUUUUGUUAUUAUAGCCCUUCCUUAUACUUAUUUAAGAUUGACCCUCUUUGAAAUAAUUUUUGGCUCUACCACUGUGUUUAUUUACAAUGAAUUUAGCUAUGGUGUUGCUACCAAAUACCUACUUACAAACAUAUUUCAACAACUUUUUGAUAAGAUUGUGAUAUAGUGAUGGUGGUGUUGGAAGUAUGCCCACAAAGCCACUCAUUUGAUGUAAUAGCUUUUGGAAUACUUAAUGUAUUAAACUAUUAAAUGUUUAAUGAAGGGCAAAGCUUAUUGUUA
rnacentral:lncRNA from 1 species